CCGCCGAAAAUACUGGGCAGCUAGGGAGUGGGAGAGGUACACGGUACUCAAUAGGAAGGGGUAAAAUCCUUUGAUCUAUUGAUGACCACCUGUGGCGAAGGCGGUGUACCAGAACACGUUCGACGGUGAGGGAUGAAAGCUGGGGGAGCAAACCGGAUUAGAUACCCGGGUAGUCCCAGCUGUAAACGAUGCAGACUCGGUGAUGCAUUGGCUUGUGGCCAAUGCAGUGCCGCAGGGAAGCCGUUAAGUCUGCCGCCUGGGAAGUACGUACGCAAGUAUGAAACUUAAAGGAAUUGGCGGGGGAGCACCACAAGGGGUGAAGCCUGCGGUUCAAUUGGAGUCAACGCCAGAAAUCUUACCUGGGGCGACAGCAGAAUGAAGGUCAGGCUGAAGACUUUACCAGACAAGCUAAGAGGUGGUGCAUGGCCGUCGCCAGCUCGUGCCGUGAGAUGUCCUGUUAAGUCAGGUAACGAGCGAGACCCCUGCGUCUAGUUGCUACCAUUACUCUCUGGAGUAGUGGAGCGAAUUAGACGGACCGCCACAGUUAAUGUGGAGGAAGGAAGGGGCCACGGCAGGUCAGUAUGCCCCGAAACCCUAGGGCUACACGCGGGCUGCAAUGGUAUUGACAAUGUGUUCCGAAUCCGAAAGGAGGAGGCAAUCAUCAAACGAUACCUCAGUUAUGACUGAGGGCUGUAACUCGCCCUCACGAAUAUGGAAUCCCUAGUAACUGCGCGUCACUACCGCGCGGUGAAUACGUCCCUGCUCCUUGCACACACCGCCCGUCGUUUCAUCGAAGUUGGCCUUUAGUGAGGUAGUGUCUUGUUGGCAUUAUCGAGCUUGAGGUCAGUGACGAGGGAAAAGUCGUAACAAGGUA
rnacentral:rRNA from 1 species